UUGACAUCCAGAGAAUUUAGCAGAGAUGCUUUAGUGCCUUCGGGAACUCUGAGACAGGUGCUGCAUGGCUGUCGUCAGCUCGUGUUGUGAAAUGUUGGGUUAACGUCCGCAACGAGCGCAACCCUUAUCCUUUGUUGCCAGCACGUAAUGGUGGGAACUCAAAGGAGACUGCCGGUGAUAAACCGGAGGAAGGUGGGGAUGACGUCAAGUCAUCAUGGCCCUUACGAGUAGGGCUACACUCGUGCUACAAUGGCGUAUACAAAGAGAAGCGACCUCGCGAGAGCAAGCGGACCUCAUAAAGUGCGUCGUAGUCCGGAUUGGAGUCUGCAACUCGACUCCAUGAAGUCGGAAUCGCUAGUAAUCGUAAAUCAGAAUGUUACGGUGAAUACGUUCCCGGGCCUUGUACACACCGCCCGUCACACCAUGGGAGUGGGUUGCAAAAGAAGUAGAUAGCUUAACCUUCGGGAGGGCGUUUACCACUUUGUGAUUCAUGACUGGGGUGAAGUCGUAACAAGGUAAGCGUAGUGCU
rnacentral:rRNA from 1 species